GUCGCCGGCGACUCUCCGGUGGUUCCCCGCGGCAAGCAUCGACACCAUCAGGUCCAGGGCACCGAGGCGCAUGUCCGCCACCAUCUCCUUCGUCCCGGUUUGCCUAGUGACUCCAGAUCGUCGCUCACCUGAGCUGCCCGUCAUUGUUGUUUCUUCCAGAGCUCCGCGGUGGUCCACUUCAAAAGGGUGUGCGCCCGUUUUCCUUCAACAUCCGAACAGCAGUCCAGCUGAUCCAGCGCCUACCGGGCCUCAGCCCAGGUCCGCCGGCUCAGAUCAACGCCCGAUGCGGCCCAACUCAAUCCGACACCAAGCUCGCCAGAUCCGGCCCAGAAACAGCGCAGCAUUUGCUUCUUCUCGGAUAGGAUCACGAAGUGUUGAUGUGAGAUACGACGAGUUCUCCGACAAGUUCUUCUCUGAGCUUUUCACAGAGCGAGCCCACCCCUUCACCUAUUUUACUUUUACAUGCUCUUUUGAUCUAUUGCUAUCCUUAUGUUGCGAUUCUGUUGUGUCACGUGUCCUAUCCACCUGUUACCUAUAUGUCCGAGAUACACCUCCUCGCCCUACCUAUUGUUUGUUGUUUGCCAGCUUUGCGAGUCGUAGGCGUGUUUAAGAUCUGUUGUUUAUCUCGAUCUGUUAUCGGGAUAUGUUGGGUUGUUGGGAGGUUUUCACAUGAUAUAUCAUUUGUUGGAGAUACACAUGCUUUACUUAAUUGUUAACAACUAAAAUUGUAAGCAGAGGCAUCUGUGAGCCCCUUUGCGAAAGCAUCGGAACUUUGACUUGCUAAUGUCCCCUAGGAUCCGAGUUCUUGUUAUCUGUUCCGAGAUUGAGCGCUCUACCCGUACGUGGGGGAGUGGGACCCCCAUCACCCACUACCUUUCCUCGAGUCUGUUUAUUGGGAGCCACAACCUUGGUUUUAUUUGCUCAUAUGCACGAUGCACGAUUUACUUCCUGUUGCCUUCGGGUGUUUAUAUUAUGUACUGUACUCAUAUCGUGGAACGAUUAGCGAAAGCAGGUUGUUCACACUUAGCUUAGCCGUUGGCACAAACCUCUGGGUCCGUAUCGGAGUACGGCCGAACUUCGAUCACGGGUAGCUUAGUUGGGUGGCUCCCAUUAAACUUUCUCUUGCAUUGGGAACGGUCUUGUUGUGAGACUCCACCUGUAGUAAGUGGGUUCGAGCACGCGUAUGGUUACAUUUGGGCAACCCCUGCAGGGUGUACAUCUUAUCGAUAAGCCGUGUCCGCGGUUAUGGACGACUUGGAAUUGUAUAGCUUGAUCAUAGAACAACUUACACCUUAUUUCCUGUUGCUAAUAAUUUGCUAAUAAAACAUUUUCAAAAAGUGUGUGUGCCUUUGCCAGUACCUCUUUGCGA